CGGCUCACAUCCGCUUCUGUUCUUCGGAGGGGGUCCGCCAUCAUCAGCCGUGUGUGUGUUCAUUCUUAAGCGGGACUCUGUGAGGCCCUCAGACUCGGUUUCCCACCCUGCUUAGCUGCUGAACCAGACACCAGCAGGCCUAUCUUGCAGCUGAGUCCGCUGAGACGGGACAACAGGAGGAGGAAGGCACAAUGCUUACUCGGUGAGAUGACCACGGAGCCACGAAUUUGUUUUCUUCUACCCAGAUUCAGCUUGUACUUCAACUUUACAUCCAGGUUUCUAGGGAAAUCCCCACUGCUCUUCCUUUGCCGUUUGGUGCUGCUUAGGGGUGACCAAUGGGACUGGCAGGCUCCCCAAACCUUUAUACACUAGUUCCCCAAGUGAGUUCCAAAAGCUAAGGCUGUUUCUGGUCACACUAGAAGAAAAAGGAGGAAAUAAAAUGGUUAUUGUGCAAUAAUAUUAAGAGGUGGGUGAGAAGGGGCUGGAGAGAUGACUCAGUGGUUAAGAGCACGGCUGCUCUACCAUAGGAUCUGAGUUCGAUUCCUACCACCUUCAUGGAGUCUCACAGCCAUCUGUAAGUCCAGUUACAGAGGAUAUAAUGACCCCUUCUGGUCUCUAAGGGCACCAGGUACACAGGUUCACAGACAUACAUGCAGACAAAAUACCCAUGCACAUAUACUUGAAAGAAGUUUUUAAGAGUUGAAUUUAGUAGAGCUGGUCCUCUGAGCUUAGCCUGACCAUCACCGUCUUGGGACGAGCUUCCACGGUGACUGAGCAGAGACCCCAGCUUGCGGCUGGAACAUAGCAGAACUUUAACAAAAUUGAGGGGAUAAUUGACACUGAGUCUGUUGGCACUUUUCUCUUGGGAACAAGGGAGACAGCUAUAGAAAACUGCCCUGCUAGAAUCCAUUAGCCACCACCCCUCCCGGCUCGCUGCCGUAGACCGAUACCUAAGGCUCCCUAAGUGCGUAUAAAAGGAAACAGUUAACCAGGGUGGUCGGACUCGGUGCAGCUGCCCAAGGUUAUGUCCAAUAAUCUGUACGCUGCCUUGAGUUAAAUUCAUUUCUCAUGGUUGAGUCAUUCUUUCAGUGGUUGGUAUUGUCCAAAUUUGGAGAUAGACAACUUUUUCAUCUCCCCAGGAAAUCCAUAUGACAUUUGGUACCCGAUGAUGAAUGUGGUGUGCUGUGUGUGAUGGGAACACCCUGUCAUAGUUUAGUUUCUGUUUUUAUAAAAUAUUCUGACAGGAAGCAGCCUGUGGGAGGAAGGCAUUUAUUCAGUUUAUAAUUCCAGGGUACAGUCCAUCAGGAAGUCAAGUCAGCGGGAACUCAGAACAGCCAUGUCACACAGUCAGAAGCUGAGAAAUGAAUGCAUACAGAUGUGCUUGCUUGCUUGCUUGCUCAGCUGCAUUUCUCCACUCAUAGAGUUCAGGACUCCCUGCCUAGGGAAUAAUGCCACCCACAGUAGGCUGUGACUUCCCAGAUCAGUUAAUUAAGACAGUCUCCCACUGACAGGCCCACAGUCCAACCCGUUGUAGACAGUCCCUCACAGAGACUCUUCCCAUGUAAUUCUAGGUCGUGUCUAGUUGACAAAGCUAGAACAACACUCAGAACUCCUACUGGACUGGGGAACUUGUAGUCCCUGGGUGCCGCGGGUUUGGGGGGCUGCAGUGAGGUGUAGCCGUGGUGGCACGUCCCUACCAUGGGGAGUCAGAUAUGCGGCUGAGGACAAACCAUUGCCUGAAGGAGGAACUCUAACUAGAGGGGGACUUACGGCCAACAUUUUCUGCUUGAUCAUCAGAUGAGGCAUAACAAUUAAAAAGGAAGAUAAGGAUGCUAGCUGGCAUAGUCUACAGCUGGUAGUGUGAAAAGACAAAGGAGUUCAAGUCCAUUCAGGGCUAAAGAGUUUAUCCUGGGAUCCAAAAAAUCAUGGACCCCUUGGGAAAGAGAGAUACAUACUGUGGGGAGCUAGGGACAGGAAGAGGAGAAGAUGAUUGAGAAGUUGAACUCUUGGUUGAAAGAAGAGAAAUAUCUAUAAUCCAGCAUGCAGAUAGGGAAAAUUUGGCAACCCCAAAGUACCCCCUUCUGAUCUAUUAAGAUUAUGGGGAGCUGGGUGGUGGUGGCACACACCUUUGUUUCCAGCACUCGGGAGGCAGAGGUGGGCAGAUACUGGAGUUCGAGACCAGCCUGGUCUACAGAGUGAGUUCCAGGACAGCCAGGGUUACACAGAGAAAUUCUGUCUUAAAAAAUCAAGGGGGAAAAAAAGGUCAUGGGGAAACUUGUAUGCAGUUCAUGGGAAACCCUGGUGGUGUGUCUGCAGGAUGUGGGAGUGUGUGGUGUGAACUGGAGUGCUGUGGAAGAGGUUAUAAUACCCCCAUACAUCCCUCUCACCAUGUCCUGGUUAAUGUUAAAUGCCAACUUGUCACAACCCAGAAUUACUGGGGAAGAGAAUCUCAACUGAGGAAUUACCUACAUCAGGUUGACCUGUGGAAUGUCUGUGGGGAUUUUCUUGAUUGUUAAUUGAUGUAGGAGGGCUCAGCCCAUUGUGGAAAGCACCAUUCCCUAGGAGGGAAGUCCCAGGCUGUAUAAGAAAGGCUAGCUGGGCAUAGUAAGCCAUGCCUGCCAGACAGUAAGCUGCUGGGGGAUAUGUGGUGGUAUUGUGUUCCCCCAAAUAUUGUGCACCCUAAUAAACUUAUCUGGGGUCAGAGACAGAGCAGCCACUAGAUACAAAGGCUAGAAAAUGGUGGCACUCACACCUUUAAUCCUAGCAUUCCAGAGACAGAAAUCCCUUUGGAUCUCUGUGAGUUCAAGGCCACAUUGGAAAUGGCCAGGCAUGGUGACACACGCCUUUAAUCCCAGGGAGUGGUGGUAGAAAGCAGAAAGGUAUGUAAGGCAUGAGGACCAGAAACUACAAGCAUUUGGCUAGUUAAGCAUUUGGCCUGGUUAAGCUUUUGGCUGGUUAAGCUUCAGGCUUUUGAGCAGCAGUUCAGCUGAGAGCCAUUGGGAUGAGGACACAGAAGCUUCCAGUCUGAGGAAACAAGACCAGCUGAGAAGUUGGCCAGGUGAGGUUAGCUGUGGCUUGUUCUGGUUCUCUGAUCUUCCAGUUCACCCCAAUACCUGGCUCAGGAUUGAUUUUAUUAAUAAGAACUGUUAAGAUUCCUGCUACAGGCAUGUCUUUCUGUACGCUGUGAAUAUAUGUUGUUCCCAUUGGUUAAUAAAUAAGCUGCUUUGGCCUAUGGUAAGACAGCUUAGAAGUGGGUGGAAAAUCCAAGGAGAGAGACAGGAAAGAGAAAGGCCCAGUCUGGAGAGACGCCGGCCUGCUGCCCAAGUAGUAACAUGCCAGUAGAUCAGUAAAGCCAGGGAACGUGGCAAAACAUAGAUUAAUGGAGGGUUAAUUUAAGAUAUAAGAGCUAGCUAGCAAGAGGCCUUCCAUAGGCCAUACAGUUUAUAAAUAAUAUUAAGCCUCUGAGUGAUUGUUUUAUAAGAGGCUUCAGGACCUUGGGGCUCAGCAGCACCAGAGAAAACUUUCAGCUACAGAAAGCAACAUCUUUUGUGGUCCCUGCCAGCUUCUCUGGCUGUAAGGUGAAUUCCUUUGUUGUAACGUGUAGAAUGGCAAGCAGGCAUCAUGGAUGCAUUCGUUUCUCUCUGCCUUGACUGUGGAUGUGAUGUGAGCAGUUGUCUCAAGCUGCUGCCACUGUGACUCCCUUAGUGACGGACUGUCUGUUCCCUGGAACUGAAGCCCAAUAAACGUUCCAGUCCCUGCAUUGUUUUUCGGCUAAAGUGUUUUGUCACAGCAACAGAAAGGGAACUAGGACACAUUGCUAGUGUGACAUACAGCAGCAUGGGGACAUUAGUCAGGUAGACAUCGCUAGUGUGACAUACAGCAACAUGGGGACAUCAAUCAUGUAGACAUCGCUAGUGUGACGUACAGCAGCAUGGGGACAUCAGUCAUGUAAGACCACUUAAAUCCUGGGUCUUGACCCUGCAUUGUGUGACCAAUGUUGUGGGUUAUGAACAAUAGUGAAAGGUCUUAGAAUGCACAAAGACCAAAAUUUAAUUCAAAUUCAAAAGUGGUGCUUUUAAGAUGUUUCUGGCCGUGCACACUCUGGCUUUGUCACAUGACUUCAUGGCAGCCUUUGUUCUGAACACACUGUGCACUCUGGAUGUUGCCCUUUGAUCGUACCACUCUGCAUACCAGGGAACAAUGCUUGAAAUUCCACAGCUCAGAUUUGAGGCUACUGCACGUUAGGAAUGGCAGUGUAUAAUUGUACACGAAGUUUUGUGCUCUUAUGGAGACAUGGUUUAAUUACCAAAAAUAAAGACUUGAUAUGUUCCUCGCA